rnacentral:lncRNA from 1 species
GUUUAACAAUAAACAUCUUCGUGAAAUACCACGGAAAAAACUAACCAGUCUGGCGCGUCAACAAAUAACACGUAACACAAACAAUCUUUCACAAAGACAUGAUGUGGAACAGAGGAAUAAAUACAUGUAGAUUGAUUGGGGAAUGAAAACCAGGUGUGCAGGGAACAAGAACGCCGCCCGAACAAGGAGAGGAGCCGACGUCGGAAGUCGUGACAAGGAAUCUCCCUAGAGCUGGCCGCCCGGCCAAACUGAGAAAUCGGGGGAGAAGGGCCUUGGUCAGGCAUGUGACCAAGAACCUGAUGGUCACUCUGACAGAGCUCCAGAGUUCCUCUGUAGAGAUGGGAGAAACUUCCAGAAGGACAACCAUCUCUCCAGCACUCCACCAAUCAGGCCUUUAUGGUAGAGUUACCAGACGGAAGCCAUUCCUCAGUAAAGGCACAUGACAGCCUGCUUGGAGUUUGCCAAAAGGCACCUAAAGGACUCUCAGACCAUGAGAAAGAUUCUCUGAUCUGAUGAAACCAAGAUUGAACUCUUUGGCCUGAAUGCCAAGCUUCACGUCUGGAGGAAACCAGGCGCAAUCCCUAUGUGAUGCAUGGUGGUGGCAGCAUCAUGAUGUUUUUCAGCGGCGGGGACUGGGAGACUAGUCAGGAAUGAGGAAAAGAUGAACGGAGCAAAGUACAGAGAGAUCCUUGAUGAAAACCUGCUCCAGAGCGCCCAGGACCUCAGACUGGGGGUGAAGGUUCCCCUUCCAACAAGACAACGACCCUAAGCACACAGCUAAGACAACGCAGGAGUUGCUUCAGGACAAGUCUCUGAUUGUCCUUGUGGGGCCCGCCAGAGCCCAGAUUUGAACCCGAUCGAACAUCUCUGGAGAGACCUGAAAAAAUCUGUGCAGCGACGCUCCCUAUCCAACCUGACAGAGCUUGAGAGGAUCUGUGGAGAAGAAUAGGAGAAACUCUGUUGUGGAAAUUACCACUAAGGACUCCAAGUCAAAGUUAGAUGAACAAAUCUUUAUUAUCACGUCCGAAGAGGUUACAACACACUUAAUACUCAAAGUACAAGUCUGUCAGAAGCUCUGAAGGAGUGCUUCCUUUUCAGUACUCUUUAUACACAUGCACAAACUAGGCAUCUCUGCUCUCAGGGUGCAAUGGGUUCCCGAGUGGCGCAGCGGUCUAAGGGAUUGCAUCUUAGUGUUAGAGGUGUCAAUACAGACAUCCUGGUUUGAUUCCAGGCUGUAUCACAACUGGCUGUGAUUGGGAGUCCCAUAGGGCGGCGUACAAUUGGCCCUGCGUCAUCCGGGAUUGGCCGGUGUAGGACAUCAUUGUAAAUCAGAAUUUGUUCUUAACUGACUUGCCUAGUUAAAUAAAAAAAUAAGCUGAUCAUGACCUUGCAAACAUAGUUUCUAAGCAUUGGGCCAAAGUAACAAUGUGUUCCCUUUCUGUUCUCCUUCUAUCAGUUCCCUCCCUGAGAGCAAAGUCACAGAACAUCCUAACACAACAAUCAAGAAACAACACUCCACAGGUAGUCACGCAUUUGCAGAGACAGAGGUCACAAAUAUUUCCACUACACUCCCUCCUUUUAUCACUAUAUGUGAUUAAAAAAAACAACAGCUUAAUACAUUGUCUAUCAACAGGAGUGUAUUUAGUAAAUACAGAUUCUUACAUAAAAUAGGCAUAACAAUAGGGAAAAAUCCAUCUUCAUAUUUGAUCAUUUUUCCAUGAUCCUUUCCAUUAUAAGGUUGAUGUGGUUUAACAACCUAACUUAAAACCUACAGGUACUUAAUCAAACCAUGGAUACUAAGUCAUUCUUGCAUAUUAUCAUCCAUUGAAGGUGGAAAGGGGAGUUCCUGGAGAGACAUCAAGUUAUCAGUAUAACCUUCUUUAGUAGCAUUGAACAUGAUAGCCUUGAUGGCCUUACAACAAGAAAGCAAAAUGAUCAAAAACAUUAAACAAGUACUUCCUUGCACAAGUACCCCCUUGACCAGCCAAUAAGUAGUCAAGUGCCUCCCUGUUUUGCAGGGUCCCCUUGCGGAGUGCUUUUACUUCUUCAUUCAGAGCAACCAAUGCUUCUCUAGUAGCAUUUCCCUUUUUAUCAGAACCCUCAACCGAACCCUAAAUUCUCUUUCAGUGUUUCCAAGUACUCUCAUGGCCGGCACCACCAACCCCAACAGUACACAUCCCUCCCCAAUUAGGUGGUAAACUCCUUUCAGUGCGAUAUACUUAUUGUAGACAGAAAUUGUAUAACUCACAUUUCCUGGUGCUUGUAGUACAGAAUCAUGUACUACAAGAGAGCAGUUAUUGCUACCAUUAACCAACAUAGUACAGUUACAAACAUUUUCACCCAAAUGGUUACUUCCAUUUCCUCUAAUACACUAGGGGGCUACCAGGGAUCCUACUAUAGGGAUGGGUGAGUCACUGCAAUUGUUUGUCUAGGAUUUACAAGGCUGACAGUAACAUUGUAUAUCGCAAAAUAAGUCAUGGGGUCAAGAUUCUUUGGGGGGGAAUUGGCAAAUGACAGUAUUGAAGACAGUUGAAUAGUUAAGUUCACCCUCAAGGGAACCCCUACAUAUGGGAGACCAUUACCUACUCCCACAGGACUCAACCCACAUACCCAACAAGAUGUCUUAUGAGGUGCCAUUUGUCACCAAUCCAGCUCGAGAGAGGAACAGAUUCUCUUCCUCAUCUUGACCUUUUACUUCUCUUUUCCUUUGGCUGACUUCUCCUUCUGGACCACUUCUCUGGGUCUGCGGCGGUCCCUUCGGCUCAGGACUUUCAUCUUCACCUGAACGGUCACCCACGGGAGGGCAAUCAACUGUUCCAAUCAACACAUUGGUGCAGAUCCAGACAGGCAGGCCACAGCCUAAGGGAUGGGACUCCCGCCAUCCUCCUCAGGGGCAGGAAUUUGUCUGCAGUGCGAGACGUGAAUCCAGGUGUCCCUCUCAGCUACCUUUACCGCAGUCGGGGUGGUCAGCAAAACCUUAUGUGGUCCUCUCCAAUGAGGAUCCUUCCAGCUCUUCCCUCUGUAGCCUUUUACCACCAAAAACUCUCCAGGGCACAGACAAUGCUCAGUUCCUCCUGAUAGGUUGGGCAGAGAAGCCUUCAACCGUGGGACGUGAGUCUUAAGAACAUUGUUAAGUGAGACACAGUAUGCUACCAUGUCUUCUUCCAUUCCCUGCAACGUCAACCUGUUUUGAGGAAAUGGCAUGUUAGGUCGCCCUGUCAGCACCUCAAUUGGAGCGAGACCAGUCACUUUGUGGGAUUUCUCUCAGAAUAGCCUUUACCACAGCUGCUGCUGUAGCUCUUCUUCAAGGAAAAGCUUCAAUCCAUUUUGAAAAUAUGUCAACAAUCACCAACUCAAUGAAGUCCAUCAUCAAAUGCUUAAAGGGGCCCUCUGGCCUGGGAUGGGACGCGGGGGAUACUGAAAUGCCGUGUCCAACAUUAUUAGUCAUACCGAUCACACAUUUCUUACAAAAGAUUUCAGCAAACACAGUAAAUCCUACAGUACUCAAAUAUUUAUUUACAAGAUCCACCAUCCCUCCUUUUGACACAUGGUCUUGACUGGGUGGCCUGGGAGGAGGAUGGGAAGUGGUCUUCAUCAACAGCAACCUUUUGUGACCCUUUCUGGGUUACUACUCAAACGAUACCAAAGAAAGAACUGAUUCCUACCGAAAGUAUGAUGGUCGUGUUUCCCAAGAUAACUCCCACAUACAGUACCACGGCUGGGUGAAGUGCCAGAACAGCUCUGGGCUGUCUCCAAGACCGAUAUUGGGAAGAAGAGAGGUGCCAUUCCGGUGAAAGUUGUUUCUUUGGUGAAUGAUACCGUGAUAUUUAACCACGGGGUGGCCAAUCGUAUCUUCAAUUAGCAUUGUGAAUCCUGUCAGUUGUAAUAGGUAAUAGGUUUUCAAUAUCGACACCUCUCUCCUCAAAAUGAUCUGUGAAGGCUUUUGCUACAUCUUCUCCUUUAGUAGUACCAUGUAUGGGUUUGAGACAAAGCAGCUCCUCACGUACCCGCUCUGAGUCACAGUAUCUUGCAACAACUGCCAGACGUGGAAUGUCAUUCCCAUCCACACUCUCAUCAAGAGCCACACUUUAAACGCUACAGUUUGCUGCUCCUUUACAUUGUCAGUCAUCUUAACGCACCUUUCAACAGUUCUGGCAGACGCAGGCAUAUCUUUUAUCUUUGAAAUGAUUGUCUUUGUUAGGCAAUCCUUCAAAUACUGCCUGUGAACUUCUGAGGAAAGCCUCCUUGAUAUUUUCCAUGUUUAGCAAUGCACUGUGCGACUGUAUAGCUCCCCUCUGUAGCUUGAUCUUUGACUGCAUGUUGAUUUGUAAACACACUGAUUUGCUUUUGAUACCAGGACACGGCCCUCUUGAUUCCUUCAGCCUCGUCCGCCCCAUGCUUGAAGUUUUUCUCAUGUCUCGUUUCAAAAUAAUGCCGUACACUUCAUGUCUGACAAACAACAGUUUCACAACAGAGAGUGCAAACAGACUGGUCCUUCAGUAAAACAAAUCAAUACUCCUCUAUCCAAGAGGCAAUAAAUGACUGAAUAUCUGCCUUAUUUUCCUUUGCUGAUUACAUUUUGCGCCCUUAACUUUUUAAAUAACAAAAGAAGGCUGCUGCUAGCCAUGUAAAAACAAAUCCCUCAUCUCCAGUACUGCCUUGGUUUUGAAGGGAGAGGUGGGUCGUCUUGUGUUGAGCUAAUAAUUUGAAACUCCUGCAAAAUCAUGAAAGCCCAUUGGCUAAUCAGGAUUGACAUACCUUGGGAACUAAAACGUUGCGGUGAAUACCAAUGCAAUUUCGAAACCAAUGCAUGCAAUUUAAAUUAUUUUCUCCAGUUUAUAACAAAAAAUAAAGUGGCAAACGUCCAGUCAAGGCUUAGCAUGCCAUGCAAAGGGGCUUGCAAAGUCACAGAACAUCCUAACACAAUAAUCAGGAAACAACAGCUAGUAGCUAGUAGUCACACAUUUGCAGAGACACAGAGGACACAAGAAUGUCCACUACAACUCCCCAAAUACAGGUGUGCCAAGCUUGUAGCAUCAUACCCAAGAAGACUCGAGGCUGUAAUCGCUGCCAAAGGUGCUUCAACAAAGUACUGAGUAAAAGGUCUGAAUACUUAUAUAAAUGUGCUAUUUCCGUUUUUUUUGUAUUAAUGUGCAAACAUUUCUAAAAACUUGUUUUUGCUUUGUCAUUAUGAGGUAAUGUGUGUAGAUUGAUGAGGGAAAAAACAUUUUAGAAUAAGACUGUAAUGUAACAAAAUGUGGAAAAAGUGAAGGGGUCUGAAUACUUUCCGAAUGCACUGUGUAUGCAUUACAUAUUGGCUUAUAGAUAAAAAACGAUUAUUUGUGCCGAUGUAAAAGUGGUGUUGGGAGUACUCAGUAGGGUCUUCAUGGGGCACAGUUUUUUCUAUUGUUGCCAAUGUAAUAGGCGGAGUAAAAGGCCAGCAACACUGUAUUAUUCUGUGCCCCAUGAAAUGACACCAUAUAUAGAUUCUACAGACCCUACUGAGUACUCCCAAUGCCACUUUUACUUUUGCACAUGGAGUUGUUUUUAUAAAAAUAAAUAUGUAAUUUAUAGGCCUACAGUCUUCUGCAUUGGGACCACUGGAAUGGGUGGACUAAAAAGUGCUGCUGGAUAUGUAGAACUCAGUCCCCCAAGAAGUAACACCAUAUAUAGGUUCUACAGACCCUACUGAGUAAUCCCAAUCCCACUUUUACAUCAACACAAAUAAUAGUUUUUUCUAUAUAAACCAAUAUUUAAUUAAUGUGCAGUGUAUUGCAUUGCAGUGCAUGGAGUGGGUGGAGAACGGAGUCACCAGUACUCUGUAUUACACCCGCUGCCCAGCACAAUAGAGCAAUUUACGUUUUGUAGACUUUAUUGAGUAAUUCCAAUUACACAUAUUGUAUUUUAUUAAAAGUGUUAUUUCUUUACCCUACACAAUCACUUUCAACAUUCCAGUAGUGGUGUAAACUUACGAAAGAA